rnacentral:rRNA from 1 species
AUUGAACGCUGGCGGCAUGCUUUACACAUGCGAGUCGAACGGCAGCACGGGGGCAGCCCUGGUGGCGAGUGGCGAACGGGUGAGUAAUACAUCGGAACGUGCCCGGUCGUGGGGGAUAACGUAGCGAAAGUUACGCUAAUACCGCAUACGAUCUGAGGAUGAAAGCGGGGGACCUUCGGUCCUCGCGCGAUCGGAGCGGCCGAUGUCAGAUUAGGUAGUUGGUGGGGUAAAGGCCUACCAAGCCGACGAUCUGUAGCUGGUCUGAGAGGACGACCAGCCACACUGGGACUGAGACACGGCCCAGACUCCUACGGGAGGCAGCAGUGGGGAAUUUUGGACAAUGGGCGCAAGCCUGAUCCAGCCAUUCCGCGUGCAGGACGAAGGCCUUCGGGUUGUAAACUGCUUUUGUACGGAACGAAAAGGCUCUGGCUAAUACCUGGGGCUCAUGACGGUACCGUAAGAAUAAGCACCGGCUAACUACGUG